UCUGAACGUAGCACACAAACUCCGUGCAAUAAAUAUUUCUAGGAAUUGAACACAUUUUAUAUUUUAUGAAAAAAACAUGUCUUGCUUUGAAAUUAAGUUGUAAACAUGAUUUAUUGACAAGAACCACCACCAGCAUCAUCUUGACUUUGUUUUACAACACUGAUAUUAUGCAGUGUCACACCCAGAUUUUUGUCAAACCAGCAGCAUACAAUAAUAACUUCUAUACAAACAUCUAUACAGGAUAUAUCUAUAUUGAGUUAUGUGCACUUGAUCUCCAUGGCGUUAGAAUCACAGAAGUGGAAUACAUAGGGCACUUUCUGGUACAGCCUCUCACCAUGAUGCAGCUAAGAUGACAGCCACAGUCGUACAUAUUUGACUUAACCAACAAACAAAGUUUGCUGUCUUAUAUAUUGUGUGUAAUGCAAAUGUAAUUCUUGAAACAAACAUGUAAGCCAAGAAUGGUGUGACACAGUGUGUUUGAUGCAGGCCACUUUGUUUUGGUUGUCCUGAAAAAUUCAGGUUUUAUGCAAAGAGGACCAUAAAGAUCACUGAGAUUACUGUGUUAGGACAGCAGCUGCAAUGCUCCUACUAGUGAAUCUCACGGACAAGUUGCAGAAGUGCACAAGAAGAGUGACAGCAUGAGGAGUCCAAGAUGAAGCACUGAUUGUCUUUUCCUAAUAUUUGGGCAAAACACACCACCUAUAAUAGCAGAAAGAUGCCUAUUUUCAGUCCCCAGAAUUUUUGCUUUUAAUAUCUGUUUUUGGUCAGGGAUCGUCCACACAGUUAUAUGCCUUCCUUAAUAAGAGCUCCACCCUCUCCGUCCCUCUUCUAAAGUCCUGUACAGCUACAAGACUGCUUGUCUGUAACUGGCUGUUGUUUCUAUUUCGAUUCUGUGACAAAGAGGAAAGCCAUCAUCAUUACACCAGAAAAUAAAAUAGAAAAAAAGGCACUGUUGCUCUGAUAUAGUGUAAAACUUUUCCACCUUUAUUUCCACUGGCUUAAUCUGCUCAAAUCGUUUUAUUCCAUAUACAUUUAAUAGAAGACCAAAGAUUCAAAUUCCUGAACUUAUAACUGCAGUAAGUAGAUUUUUGCCACAUCUGGGUAGCAGAACAGCUGUCUACAUUUUAUAUGACCAGAGGCCUAAACUAGGAAGCAGGAUUUCAGCGUAUCCAGGGAACUUCAGGUUUCACCCUGGGUGUUUUGCACCAUGAAGGCGGUGCAUUUCUUACUGGGGUAAAUCGCCACGGUAACUUAUGCUGUGAAUCUAACCUGUAGGUUAAAAUCCUGAUUGGUGAUCGAGAGGUAUAAAAUCACUGCCUACUGACCAAUCAGCUCUACAGAACAUAGCAUUACCAUGCCUGCAAGGUCACUCGGACCUCUGUGCAUUAAAAAGAGGAAGAUUUGUACUAGCACAAACUGUCAUUGUUUCCUUAAUGAGCAUCGGUAAUAAAAAAUAACUUUUAGAUGAAAACUUAUUCCUUGAUUUUUUUUCUCACUGUAACAAAGAAUUUUAUUGUUUUACUGGCAUUGAUAUCUGAUCCUAAAACAGGACACCUACACUGUACUUGCUGACCUCAUAUGAAAUUUGUAAGUAGACUACCUUUGAAUUCUGGUUUUAGAUUUAAUGUUUUCUCUCAAAUCCUUAAACAGGGUCUACAGCUCGAAGAAUCAAAACUGCGAGUCACAUUGCCACAGGCAUGUUCGUGUUUGGUGAUUUGGAAAAAAUAUUAAAUAUUGCUGCAUGUAAUUUUAAUCUGCAACAAAAUGUCAUUUACUUUGUUUUUUGUUCUGUGUGCAAAACCACAAGAUUAACAAUUAACGAUGAACUACAGCUUAAAAACUUGCACUUACAAAACAUAAACAUAGUUUAGGGGUCAGAGAGUAAGGAUUAGUAUUAAAACAUAAUUUAUAAAUAGGCUUAGUCACCAUUGCAAAAGUGAUAUAAGGUCAGCGAGUAUCAUGGUGAUUUACCUCAGUAAGAAAGUGAAACAUCACCUAGAACAGAAAAUGCUGGCAGCUGCCACUGCUACCACCUCAGCCUCCUAGUAGAGCCCCCUAUUGCAUAAGUUUGAAUUUUCAGAAAAAAUGACUUCUGACCUUAAGGUCUAGGUCACCAAGAUUCAAAUUCGCCCGAGAGUUUUAGAAGAUGCACCUAUCGUAUCAAUUUCAAAAUCCUGGGUGAAUUCCUUCUUGCAUUAUUGAAAGAUUAUCAGAAAGAUUUUCAGAAAAGUUGACCUCUGGCCUUCACCUUGAGGUCAAGGUCACUGAGAUUCAUUCUUGUCCAAGAUAUUUAGUGGUUUGUGAAAAUCCUCCAUCACCCUUGUUCUUAAGUUGUUGCAUUCACAGGAUUUUCAGAAAACUUUACUUCUGACUGAAGAUUCACUGAGAUUCUAACUCAUCUGGGAUUUUUAGUACGUGCUCCUAUGGCAUGAAUUUCAAAAUCCUACGUCACCUUGUGCUCAAGUUAUCACAUUCAUAAACUUGGGUGUCCACACCACCCAACCACCUAGCGUGACCAGCACAUGUGGCUUUCAUUUGUGAAACCACAUGUGCCACGUUCUACCUCCUUUUUGAUAACUUAAAGCUCCAACUGUUAGCAAGGGUUGAGUAUGUAUGCUUUAAGCAAUACAGAAAAUGUCUCAGCUUAAAAUAAUGCGGUCCUUCCCAUUAGUCUGCAUCAAGUACAUCAGUGCGCAGUCAAAGAAAGCUGCAUGAAGAGUUGAAGUUGAGCCACAUUUGGAAGAAAAAGGAAAGCAGCAAAAAAGACGAAUGAGACAUCUUUACAAGAACUCCAAAGAUCAUCAACAGUAGACUGUCAUGUCUGGGGUUCAGAAAAUACACAGUUUAGAGUUUUAGAAAUGUUUUUUGUUUUUAUUGUCCUUUAAAAUACUGUCUUGGAAACUGCAGGGGGAACCUUUAAAAUAAACUUGAAUCAAAGAUUGUCAAAAGAAUUUCGUUUGAUCAGAAGAAUGUAGUUACGUCACUGAGAUGAUCAUCAUUGCACAUCACUGCAGCAGGUAGAAUAGAUCAGCUAUUUUUUAAAUCCUACUUUAAGUUGUGAAUGACUACAGAGAAAAUAAGAAAGAAUGGGGGAAAGUAGAAAGUGUUUAAAAGGGGCUUUAUGAGGGGUUUAAAAAAUAUCCUUGUAAUUUAUAGUCUUUUGUUUUUACCACGUUAGCUGGAAAAUAUAAAACUUGUAAAAUAAAGCGUUAUCAUUUGAACUCAAGUGCCUGUAUCACUCAGUUACAUCAAAUGUUAAUAAUGAGAAAGAGCAUUCAUGCACUAGUUUCUUGUUUUACUAACUAUUCAGUUUGUUUAAAAAUGAAUGACUAUGUUCCUGGAGCUCAAAGUGUGGUCUAAGUGUUCAGUGGCAUACAAAUAUUUAAUUGAAUCCCUACUGAACAUGUACAUUUUCUCACUUACAAAGAAAAGAACAGUUUUGAAUUUCUAUGUCAGUUUCAUUCAAAUGGAGAGCAACAUGAUGUCAACCAAAAAUCCAGGAAAAAAAACUGUCCUAAAUUGAUUUGCAUGUCCCUGAGCGAAAAAAAUAUUUGAUCCCCUACAACCCAGUAAGAAUUCUGGGUCCCACAGAUUUCUGAGUGCCCACAUGGCACACAAACCACAAUAAAUCAAUCAUUCAGUACACUGGAGAUACUCCUGGUCUCAACCUGCAUUGUUUAUACAUUAAUCAUGCCCACCAAAACAAUUUCACAUUGAGUGGGCCAGUGGACAGAGCUGUACUGUAAGAUCUUGGAUGAGAACCUUCUUCCCUGAGUUAGAACACUGAAGAGCGGUUGUACAUGGGUCUUAAAGCAUGAAAAUUAUCUAAAUACAAACAAGUAAACAACAGAGCAGCUAAAAAAGGAGAACAUUAUGAUCAUGGAGUGGCCAGUCUGUAGACCUCUAUCCUAUAAAUCAGAUCUGUAGAGAGAAUCAGCACUGAAGCUUGAAGUUGCCAACAGGCAGCCAAGAAAAUUAAAGGAUUUGGAGAAUUUCUGUAAAGACGAGUGGGCGCAAAAUCCUUGCUGAGAUGUGUGAAAAAAUGGUGACCAACUACAAGAAACAUCUUACUGCUGUGCUUGCCAAUAAGGAGUUAUCUACCAACAGAGAUGGGUGUUACUGUAAUCUGAUUACUUUUUUCAAGUACCGAGUAAAGUAAGGGAUUACUAUUGCAAAAACAGUAAUUAGAUUACCGCUACUUUCCCGUAGGAACGCUGCGUUACUGCGUUACUAAAACCGUGAUUUUUUUUGCGAGAGUGUCUCACAACAGUGACGUAAGCGAGUGCGACGUUCGUGGCAACAGCUGUGUGCAGAUCAACAAUGGAUCAUAUAUCGAUUGUGGGAGAGAGUAUGAGCGUGCAGCGUUUAAAGCGUGGAAGUACUGACCUUACUUUGAGUUUGAUUCCAUAAAAAGUGACAAAAACAUUAGUGUCCGUUGUGCGUGGGAAGAAAACUUCUUUUUACACCGAAACCCCCCCCCUAAACAAGCUCCUAGUGCGCAACGACAUAAUGGGAAAUUCACAGAGAAACUCGCGGAUUCUUCAACUGACCGCUGCGGCACACCUGCACCAGGGUAAACCUCCGCCUACCCCACUCCUGCUUUACAGGUGAAAAUAGAGCAAAAGGACCGCUAGUCUUUGAUUUUAUUUAUGUUCUGCUGUGUUUUACUUGCAUCUAUUUGAAAGACUGAGUGUAAACACAAAAAAUAUUUUAUUUUAUGUGCUGGAAUGUGCAGAAAAUAGGUUUAAAUGUUAAACAAAUUUCUUCCAGUCAGUGAAUGUUGCAUAUAAUUAAAUUUUUGCUUGAUGCAUAAAGUUAAAAGCUUAAAACUAAUAAAACAAGUUUUAAAAAAAGACUUUUCCAUUUGAUUACAUUUUGUAUGAUGGAUUAUGUAGAAAAAGUAGAAUUGGGCUGAAGAUCUAUCACUUUAUCACCUAUUCAGGUUGUAAAUCGUGUUUUUAAAAAGUAACUAAGUAACUAAGUAAUUAAUUACUUUUGAAAAUAAGUAAUCAGUAAAGUAACGGUAUUACUUUUUUGGGGAAGUAAUCAGUAAUUAGUUACUGAUUACUUUUUUCAAGUAACUUGACCAACACUGUCUACAAAGUACUAAAAGUGCAUUUUAGUUUAAAGUGGACAUGAAACACUACAUGUAUAAAGGCUAAUUUACACCAUCGAGCCCAGAACUCAAAAAACUGACAUAGAUGUAACUCUGUCUGUGUAUCUGCAGUUAUUUAUUGAAGAAAUAGUGCUCAACGUUAACAUUUAAAGAACAUUUUUAG
ensembl:lncRNA